rnacentral:rRNA from 1 species
UACGAAGGGGGCUAGCGUUGCUCGGAGUGACUGGGCGUAAAGGGCGCGUAGGCGGCGAUCAAAGUCAGGCGUGAAAUUCCUGGGCUCAACCUGGGGGCUGCGCUUGAUACUUGGUUGCUUGAGUGGGGAAGAGGGUCGUGGAAUUCCCAGUGUAGAGGUGAAAUUCGUAGAUAUUGGGAAGAACACCGGUGGCGGAGGCGGCGACCUGGUCCAUUACUGACACUGAGGUGCGAAAGCGUGGGGAGCAAACAGG